CGCAGAGUGGCUAUUGGUAUCAUUUCACAAAAUGGCAUUGCAGGAGCUGGCAUUGUGUAGAAGUACUUUUUAGAUACAACUCAAUCCAUCUAAAGGUCAGUUAUCAUGAACUACUGUUAUUGCAUUCUUCAAAGAACAUUUCUGCUGAUAAAUGGACCCAGAGGAUUCAACGGACAAAGUUGAGCCUGCUUAUGAGUAACAGAGCUCUAUCCAGUUUGGAGGCCAGUAAAUAUUUGAGGUAAACUGAAGCAAGGUCCUGCUAUUCUAGGAAUGAGUGAUGCUGGAGUAUCUGUUGAAGCUGGU
rnacentral:lncRNA from 11 species